rnacentral:rRNA from 1 species
AUUGAACGCUGGCGGCAGGCCUAACACAUGCAAGUCGAGCGGCAGCGGGAAAGUAGCUUGCUACUUUUGCCGGCGAGCGGCGGACGGGUGAGUAAUGCCUGGGAAAUUGCCCAGUCGAGGGGGAUAACAGUUGGAAACGACUGCUAAUACCGCAUACGCCCUACGGGGAAACGGCUUUAGUGCUAGAGGAUGGGUCUGUAUGGUAUCAGCUUGUUGGUGAGGUAAUGGCUCACCAAGGCUAUGACGCCUAACUGGUUUGAGAGGAUGAUCAGUCACACUGGAACUGAGACACGGUCCAGACUCCUACGGGAGGCAGCAGUGGGGAAUUUUGGACAAUGGGCGCAAGCCUGAUCCAGCAAUGCCGCGUGCAGGAAGAAGGCCUUCGGUUGUAAACUAGCUUUGUUACGGAACGAAAAGGACUCUGGUUAAUACCUGGGGCGUCAUGACGGUACCGUAAGAAUAAGCACCGGCUAACUACGUG